UACGUAGGGGGCGAGCGUUGUCCGGAAUUAUUGGGCGUAAAGGGCGCGUAGGCGGCCUUGUAAGUCAAAGGUGAAAUCCCUCGGCUCAACUGAGGAACUGCCUUUGAAACUGCAAGGCUUGAGGCCGGGAGGGGGUAGCGGAAUUCCCAAUGUAGCGGUGAAAUGCGUAGAUAUUGGGAGGAACACCAGUGGCGAAGGCGGCUACCUGGACCGGUUCUGACGCUGAGGCGCGAAAGCGUGGGUAGCAAACAGG
rnacentral:rRNA from 1 species